rnacentral:rRNA from 1 species
UACGGGGGGGGCAAGCGUUGUUCGGAAUUACUGGGCGUAAAGGGCUUGUAGGCGGCCAACUAAGUCCGACGUGAAAUCCCCAGGCUUAACCUGGGAACUGCGUCGGAUACUGGAUGGCUUGAAUCCGGGAGAGGGAUGCAGAAUUCCAGGUGUAGCGGUGAAAUGCGUAGAUAUCUGGAGGAAUACCGGUGGCGAAGGCGGCAUCCUGGACCGGCAUUGACGCUGAAGCGCGAAAGCUAGGGGAGCAAACGGG